UACAGGGGGGGCAAGCGUUGUUCGGAAUUACUGGGCGUAAAGGGCCAGUAGGCGGCCAACUAAGUCCGACGUGAAAUCCCCAGGCUUAACCUGGGAACUGCGUCGGAUACUGGAUGGCUUGAAUUCGGGAGAGGGAUGCAGAAUUCCAGGUGUAGCGGUGAAAUGCGUAGAUAUCUGGAGGAAUACCGGUGGCGAAGGCGGCAUCCUGGACCGACAUUGACGCUGAAUGACGAAAGCUAGGGGAGCAAACGGG
rnacentral:rRNA from 1 species